GGUGACAGGUGGUGCAUGGUUGUCGUCAGCUCGUGUCGUGAGGAUGUUGGUUAAGUCCCGCAACGAGCGCAACCCCUAUUGUUAGUUGCCAUCAUUCAGUUGGGCACUCUAGCGAGACUGCCGGUAAUAAACCGGAGGAAGGUGGGGAUGACGUCAAAUCAUCAUGCCCCUUAUGACCUGGGCUACACACGUGCUACAAUGGUUGGUACAACGAGUUGCGAGUCGGUGACGGCGAGCUAAUCUCUUAAAGCCAAUCUCAGUUCGGAUUGUAGGCUGCAACUCGCCUACAUGAAGUCGGAAUCGCUAGUAAUCGCGGAUCAGCACGCCGCGGUGAAUACGUUCCCGGGCCUU
rnacentral:rRNA from 1 species